rnacentral:rRNA from 1 species
GUCUCGUUGGUGACCAGCGGAGGGACAUU